rnacentral:lncRNA from 1 species
CCAAGACUUCUGGCUUGGUUGCACUGAAAGGUGCAACUGAGACGUGCGGCCAUUCUGCCCUUUAUUUGUGUGACUGACACCUUGAAGACUAAUGUUGUCAGAUGAAAUGUACCCGGAGCAAUAUUUCAGCACAGCUCUAGCUGGAACCAUGUUCCUGGAAAAGAUCCAGGAAUGAUUUAUUGAAGGCCAUGGUGUGCACAGGUAAAUA